rnacentral:tRNA from 1 species
GCCAGCAUGGCAUUGCGGUUCGAGUGUUGGACUAGAACUCUGGAGACCGGGGUUCAAUUCCCAGCUCUGCCA